rnacentral:rRNA from 1 species
GAUGAACGCUGGCGGCGUGCCUAAUACAUGCAAGUCGAGCGAACGGACGAGAAGCUUGCUUUUCUGAUUUUAUCGGCGGACGGGAGCGUAACACGUGGAUAACCUACCUCUCAGACUGGGAUACUUUCGGGAAACCGGAGCUACUACCGGAUAAUAUUUUGAACCGCAUGGUUCCCAAGUGAAAGUCGGUCUUGCUGUCACUUAUAGCUGGCUCCGCGCUGCAUUAGCUAGUUGGUAAGGUAACGGCUUACCAAGGCAACGAUGCAUAGCCGACCUGAGCGGGAGAUCGGACACACGGGAACUGAGAAACGGCCCAGACUCCUACGGUAGGCAGCAGUAGGGAAUCUUCCGCAAUGGGCGAAAGCCGGACGGAGCAACGCCGCGUGAGGGAUGAAGGACUUCGGAUCGUAAAACUCUGUUAUUAGGGAAGAACAUAUGUGUAAGUAACUGUGCACAUCUUGACGGUACCUAAUCAGAAAGCCACGGCUAACUACGUG